AUGACCGGAACCGGCGAUGGCUAAUCUCAGUUGUCUGGAGACUGGCCGGACCUCCAGCAUUAUUUGCUGGAUUGUUCAUUAGUGGGAAAUAACUAAUAUAUAACUGAACAAGUAUCUUGUUUGUGGCAAUUUGAUGUAAUGUUGUCAGAAUAUUAGUACAUUAGUAGACUAGAGGGAAAAUUGCAUCGAGUUGUAUGGUGUUGGCAUGUUGGCUUGGUACUGUGCGGUGCAGCGCGGCAUCGUCUUUAGUAAGAAAGUGUGGAGAAUGCAGUGAGAAACGUGAAAGUACGUGUAAGUACUAAGAUGAGCUAUAGACAUUUUUAUGUGCUUGCUUUUGAGGUAGUAACUCACUGGCGGAUCUAAGCAGUUAGCAUAAAAGGGACGCAAAUAUUGUAGCUAGCACUAGCUGGUAGUCAAUUGCGUUUCUUUUAGAUUAAACCUUGCACAAUUGGCAACUGAUUUUUUACGUGAACUUAUUAUUGACAAUAUCUUUUUAAUAAACUAUUAGAGAUGAUAUCAGUUUGCAUGGUUUUAUUUACCACGUCGUCAUUUAGGCGGCAGGUUCUUAGAGUUUGUGACGAUAACAUCAAAUAGUCUCAGGAGACAAAUUCCCUGCUGACGAUACAUAAUAUACGACGUUAUCUAGGCAUAUAGAGUAAUUAAAGUAACUGCGAUUUAGUAAACAUUUUAUUCUGACUGCGACGUGCAGCAACUUAAUCAUAUGCGACACAAUUCUAGUAAGUUGUAAAUCAUGUCAAAACAAGCAAAUGUUGAAGUUCACAACGAAAUUGAUGUUACUGAUCUUGACUACGACUCGUAUCUGAGGAUUGCCGAGUUGAAGAAUCUUCAGAAGCGUCGAACAACAGAACAUGAUGAACAUUUGUUUAUCGUUAUACAUCAGGUGUAUGAAUUGUGGUUCAAGGAAGUGGACUUUGAGAUCUCUUCUGUUCUUGAUUUGAUGAAGGAUUUGCAUCGAAUUGAGGACAAAAUGUUGACUGUGUUAUCCCGCUUACAGAGAGUGAUCGUGGUUUUGAAGAUACUGGUAGAUCAGAUCAGAGUAUUGGAGACCAUGACUCCUUUGGAUUUCUUAGACUUUCGUCAUGAGCUGGGAAGCGGCACCGGAUUUCAGAGUUUUCAGUUUCAUUUGAUUGAGGUCAAGUUGGGGCUCAGACAGGCUGAUCGCGUUGGUCAUGGGAAACUCUGCAGAACUCAGUACACAGAAACCCAUUCAGAUUUCAGGAGUGAUCUUGAGAAAGCAGAAAGUCCCGGCCCAUCUUUGUUCGAUCUUGUGGAGCGAUGGCUCGAAACAAAUGCGAGUGAUUCGUUCUGGCAGACUUACUGUAAAGGUGUGGAUGACUACCUAAAAGAAGAGAAAGCACGCUUGGAUUUCGAGAACGAAAAACACAUGAAAAAGUUUGAAACUUUGGAGAGUUCAUUUGAGGACAUUAAACGCGAAAGCCGUUACUCUGCCAAGAAAGUCAAACUUCUUCAGGAAUCUACUAACACAAACGGAGAAACUAAAUUCGAUGAAAAGGGAGAAACCCAGAGAGAAAUAGUUGAAAAGCCAAUGUUUCGUCUGUCUCACAAAGCAGCACAGGGCGCUAUCAGGAUCAUUCAGAACAGAGAUGAUCGGCAAUUUCAUACUUCAUAUCAGUUGUUGAGCCUCUUGAUGGAUGUAGACUCUCUGUUGAUGCACUGGAGAAACAAUCAUUCUCUCUUUGUUCACCGCAUGAUCGGCAGUAAAAUGGGAACCGGAGGAUCCGGUGGAUACGAAUAUCUUCGAAAAACGGUUGCAAGUGAGACCUACAGGAUCUACUCUGAUCUCUUCAAAUUGUCGUCGUUUCUAGUACCGAGAAGAUGCAUUGGUGAUGCAGAAUCGUGAUGAGAUGAUGAAGGCAACUACUAAUUACUAAUUAAGUUACAGCUAGCUAACAUUUGCUAAUCAAUCUCAUUUUGUUCACCGCGUGAUUGGCGGCACAACAGCAACGGGAGGGUAGGAGGAUACUAGAAUUUCUGAGAAGUUGCAAGUGAUCUCUUCAUCGUUCUUAGUGCUGAAAAGAUGCGUUGGUAAAUCAAUCAAAGAAUUUGAAGCCUCCUAAUUGCUUAAUUAAGUAACUCAAUUGCAAGGACUAGACUUUUCCUAACACGUUUUGCUAUUGAUUAAUAAUUAUGUCAGGUGUUUAGAGUGCAAUAAUAAAUUCGAUUGUUUUAUAACUUUGGUUUAGAUUAAAAUU